rnacentral:rRNA from 1 species
UAGGGAAUCUUCCGCAAUGGACGAAAGUCUGACGGAGCAACGCCGCGUGAGUGAAGAAGGAUUUCGGUUCGUAAAACUCUGUUGUUAGGGAAGAAAAAAUGUAUAGUAACUAUAUACAAAAGAGACGGUACCUAACCAGAAAGCCACGGCUAACUACGUGCCAGCAGCCGCGGUAAUACGUAGGUGGCAAGCGUUGUCCGGAAUUAUUGGGCGUAAAGCGCGCGCAGGUGGUUUAGAAAGUCUGAUGUGAAAGCCCACGGCUCAACCGUGGAGGGUCAUUGGAAACUAAUAAACUUGAGUGCAGGAGAGAAAAGUGGAAUUCCUUGUGUAGCGGUGAAAUGCGUAGAGAUUAGGAGGAACACCGGUGGCGAAAGCGGCUUUUUGGCCUGCAACUGACACUGAGGCGCGAAAGCGUGGGGAGCAAACAGG